rnacentral:rRNA from 1 species
UAAUACAGAGGGUGCAAGCGUUAAUCGGAAUUACUGGGCGUAAAGGGCGCGUAGGUGGUUGUUUAAGUGAGGUGUGAAAUCCCCGGGCUUAACCUGGGACGUGCAUCUUAUACUGGGCAACUGGAGUGCAAUAGAGGGUAGUGGAAUUUCCGGUGUAGCGGUGAAAUGCGUAGAUAUCGGAAGGAACACCAGUGGCGAAGGCGGCUACCUGGAUUGACACUGACACUGAGGCGCGAGAGCGUGGGGAGCAAACAGGAUUAGAUACCCUGGUAGUCCACGCUGUAAACGAUGAAAACUAGAUGUUGUUGGGCUUAGACCCAUCAGUAUCGAAGCUAACGCGAUAAGUUUUCCGCCUGGGGAGUACGGUCGCAAGAUUA